UGUGUGUGUGUGUGUGUGUGUAUCUUCGACAUUUUAGCCCUGAAUUUGGUAAAUUUGUAUUAUUAAACAUCUUGUCCUACUAUUUACCUCGCUGUUAUUGGCUUGAACUAUAGAGUUGAACGAUUAAUAUAUACAUGUGUGUGUGUGUGUGUGUGUGUGUGUGAUUCAUUAGAAACAUGGCUUGAACUAUGGAGUUGAACGAUUAAUAUAUGUAUAUGUAUAUAGUGCCGGGAACGAGGAUUUUUAAUAAGGAUAUUCCAAAUAUAAAAAGGUAAAUGGACGAAGAAGCCAAGGGAUUCAACAUCUAGUAUAUAAAUAAAAGUGUAAUUUUUUGACACCCUAGCUCCGCCUAUAUGUGUGUGUGUGUGUGUUCGACAUUUUAGCUCUGAAUUUGGUGAAUUUGUAUUAUUAAACAUCUUGCUCCUACUAUUUACCUCGGUGUCAUUGGCUUGAACUAUAGUGUUGAACGAUCAUUAUAUACAUUUUUUUUGUGUGUGUGUCAUUAGAAUCACCAUUAGAAAUCUAGUAGUUAUAGUACUUUUUUAUUUUUGCAUUUUUAUACGCGUUCGCCUCAAUAAGCUGUAAAACCCUAGACAUUUUCUACUUGAGGUUGAUGCAUAUAAUUAAAGGAAAUGAAAUAUUUAUCUAUUUAACUUAACUACAUAAUAGACGAAUGAAAACACGCACAAAAGUUUUUCCAAACUUUGAACCGAAAGUGUCUAAUUGAAAACUUUAUUAGGAGUUGAGGUGUUCAAUUGAAACAGGGCUUAGUUCGAGCGUCUAAGUGGAAUAUUCUGGCUGUCUAAGAGGCUGGCUAUGUAUUAAGCCAAUGAAUUCAUUUUGAUUAUAUUAUUUUAGAUGUGUGGAGACAUAAGAUCUGGAUUGUGUCUGAUAUCCUUUUUGUUUUGUGAUGUUGUAUGUAUUAUUGGUGUGGAGACAUUUUAGCUUAAAAUUUGGUACGCUAGUAUUAUUCACAUCUUUAUCGUACUAUUUACCUCACUGUCAUUGGCUUGAAAAAUAGAGUUGAACGAUUAAUAUAUACAUAUAGAAAUGCCUAUGCUUUAUCCUUCUG